rnacentral:rRNA from 1 species
UAAGGAAUAUUGGUCAAUGGGCGCAAGCCUGAACCAGCCAUGCCGCGUGCAGGAAGACGGCCCUAUGGGUUGUAAACUGCUUUUGUCAGGGAAUAAACCCCCGCUUGUGAGCGGGGCUGAAGGUACCUGAAGAAUAAGCAUCGGCUAACUCCGUGCCAGCAGCCGCGGCAAUACGGAGGAUGCAAGCGUUAUCCGGAUUCAUUGGGUUUAAAGGGUGCGCAGGCGGAUUGGUAAGUCAGGGGUGAAAUCCCACAGCUCAACUGUGGAACUGCCUUUGAUACUGUCAGUCUAGAGUAUAGUUGAAGUGGGCGGAAUGUGUCAUGUAGCGGUGAAAUGCUUAGAUAUGACACAGAACACCGAUCGCGAAGGCAGCUCGCUAAGCUAUAACUGACGCUCAUGCACGAAAGCGUGGGGAUCAAACAG